GAUGAACGCUAGCGGCAGGCUUAACACAUGCAAGUCGAGGGGUAUUUGUCUUCGGGCAGAGAGACCGGCGCACGGGUGCGUAACGCGUAUGCAAUCUACCUUUCACAGAGGGAUAGCCCAGAGAAAUUUGGAUUAAUACCUCAUGGUAUUAUGAAAUGGCAUCAUUUUAUAAUUAAAGUCACAACGGUGAAAGAUGAGCAUGCGUCCCAUUAGCUAGUUGGUAAGGUAACGGCUUACCAAGGCUACGAUGGGUAGGGGUCCUGAGAGGGAGAUCCCCCACACUGGUACUGAGACACGGACCAGACUCCUACGGGAGGCAGCAGUGAGGAAUAUUGGACAAUGGGCGCAAGCCUGAUCCAGCCAUGCCGCGUGCAGGAUGACGGUCCUAUGGAUUGUAAACUGCUUUUAUACGAGAAGAAACACUCCCUCGUGAGGGAGCUUGACGGUAUCGUAAGAAUAAGGAUCGGCUAACUCCGUGC
rnacentral:rRNA from 1 species